rnacentral:rRNA from 1 species
UGCCAGCCGCCGCGGUAAUACGGGAGGGGCAAGCGUUAUCCGAAAUCAUUGGGUUUAAAGGGUCCGUAGGCGGUCUAAUAAGUCAGAGGUGAAAUCCUACAGCUCAACUGUAGCAUUGCCUUUGAUACUGUUAGACUUGAGUUAUUGUGAAGUAGUUAGAAUGUGUAGUGUAGCGGUGAAAUGCAUAGAUAUUACACAGAAUACCGAUUGCGAAGGCAGAUUACUAACAAUAUACUGACGCUGAGGGACGAAAGCGUGGGUAGCGAACAGGAUUAGAUA